GGGGGGUGAGAGAGGUAAACAGAGAAAGAGAGGGACGACAAAAAACCACAGAAAAGACACAGAGGCAAGCAGUCUCUUGUGAAGAGAAUGUAAAGAAGACCUAAAGCUUAAUUCUGGCUAUGACGGGGGAAAAAAUCUCAAACUGAAAUAUAACCCACAUGCAUGUUAAGUAGUUAGUCACUCAACAGAACAGCAACAGCACUUCUGCGUUAAACAAGUACAGCAAGAGAAGGCAACAAUCUGGGGGGAAAAAAAAACUUGGAUUGAGACAAGCAUAACAAGCGGAACAGGACUGGAGCGCAGUCAAAAGGCAGCAGCUCGGUGGUGGAGUUAAGUUAAGGAGUUAGGCUGCUUGUGGAAUUCCCAAAUCAACAGCUGGAACCGAAGCAAGCAAGUGGAAAAAGGGGGAAGCACUUUCCUUUCCCCUCAGGAGGCCAUCCAGAUAGGAACAGAGCUUGUGCACUGAUCCGAACACCGUCUGCUUGUUACUGACAGCUGUGACCAGAAGAGAAUGGAUGCCAAACAGGAAGCACUCGAUAUGCUCAAAAACAUCUGGACCAAGCUACAGACUCUACCUGAAGCAAACUCCAUUGAGAUUGGAGGCUUCCUCAUCCUCCUACUCUUCAUUUUGACAUUCCUGGCCAUGGUGGUGUUUGCUUGUGCACAGUGCUGCUGUAGCUGUGGACGAGGCUCAAGAAAGAACAACUCUGUCCUUUGAAACGUCUCUACAGUUCAGUCAAGCAUGAAGAGAUACCAGACAAUGGAAGAGGCACAGCGAGAAAAGAAGGGACAGCGAGAGCUCACUAUAAAAGCUUUGGGGAAAUUUGGGCAAGUUUUUGCACUGGGGCUUUGCACAGCCUGCCUCGGUGACACAGGAAAAACUUCAGAGGAUACAGAAUGUGGCUUUUUAUUCUUUUUAUUAUGUAUGCGGUGCUUGUGAAUAAUCUCACAAAUGUAAUCUGUGUUGUACCUAGUAGGUAUGUAUGAGAAUAACGGCGCAGGGAAGGUGUGUCAAAGCUAUGCUCUCUAACUGGAACAGGAAGCGGAGGGUCAGUGCUUAUGAGUGUGGGUGAUGGAUUGGAAGACCGAGCUUCCACUUUAUGGUCCAUGAGCAAGACCUUUAACCAUCACCUGCUCGGUUGGAUCUUGUUUCAAUUGUCACUUUAAAUAAAAAAAAGCAUCAACCAAAUUUGUUUUUAAUGAAAGAAACUUGGGAAAGACUGGGAUGAACCAAUGCAAUUCUGUAUUUAUUCUUUGUUAUUAUUUUUUUUACCAAGCCAAGCCAGAAGCUACAAGUACGAUUUUGUUCAUCCAUAAUAUGAUCAUUAUCAGAUCUCUGCACACUCGUAUCUAAACUUUAUAAAGAACAAAUAUUUAACAAAUCAUAUGGAUUUUUUUUUCUUUGAAAAUACAAUCAGUGUGGUCAGAAUUAGUGAUAAUGUUUCCUGAAUGUCUGUAUACAGAUUAAUAAACUGAAGGUCACUGAAUCUUACAUGUAGCACCUUCAAGCACUAUUAAUAUAAACAAUCUAUAAUAAUACUGUUCUUCUUUUUAAUGCAAAUCUACAUAAAAACCUAUAAGACAUUCAAUAAACACAAAUCUCUUAACUACUAA